rnacentral:rRNA from 1 species
GACGAACGCUGGCGGCGUGCUUAACACAUGCAAGUCGAACGGAAAGGCCCUGCUUUUGUGGGGUGCUCGAGUGGCGAACGGGUGAGUAACACGUGAGUAACCUGCCCUUGACUUUGGGAUAACUUCAGGAAACUGGGGCUAAUACCGGAUAGGAGCUCCUGCUGCAUGGUGGGGGUUGGAAAGUUUCGGCGGUUGGGGAUGGACUAGCGGCUUAUGAGAUUGUUGGAGGGGUAGUGGCUGAGCAAGCCUUGGAAGCGUAGCCGGCCUGGGCGGGUGAGCGGCCCAGUCGGGCCGGGACUGCGGCACAGACUCCUCCGGUACGCAGCAGUGGGGUAUAUUGUACUAUGGGCGGAAGCCUGACGUAGCCACGCAGCGCGCGGGAUGACGGCCUUCGGUUUGUAUACUGCUUCUGCCUGUGACGAAGCGUUAGUGACGGUACUGGGUAAAGAAGCACCGGCUAACUACGUG